CGUUACCAAACUGUUGCCUCGGCGGGAUCUCUGCCCCGGGUGCGUCGCAGCCCCGGACCAAGGCGCCCGCCGGAGGACCAACCUAAAACUCUUAUUGUAUACCCCCUCGCGGGUUUUUUUUAUAAUCUGAGCCUUCUCGGCGCCUCUCGUAGGCGUUUCGAAAAUGAAUCAAAACUUUCAACAACGGAUCUCUUGGUUCUGGCAUCGAUGAAGAACGCAGCGAAAUGCGAUAAGUAAUGUGAAUUGCAGAAUUCAGUGAAUCAUCGAAUCUUUGAACGCACAUUGCGCCCGCCAGUAUUCUGGCGGGCAUGCCUGUCCGAGCGUCAUUUCAACCCUCGAACCCCUCCGGGGGGUCGGCGUUGGGGAUCGGCCCUCCCUUA
rnacentral:misc_RNA from 1 species